rnacentral:rRNA from 1 species
GGCUCAGGAUGAACGCUAGCGGCAGGCUUAAUACAUGCAAGUCAAGGGGGUAGCAAUACAACCGGCGCACGGGUGAGUAACGCGUACACAACAUACCAUAUACUGGGGUAUAGCUUCGGGAAACUGAAGGUAAUCCCCCAUAAUAUUGCGGGAAGGCAUCUUUCUGCAAUUAAAGUUUCGACGGUAUAAGAUGAGUGUGCGUCCCAUUAGAUUGUUGGUGAGGUAACGGCUCACCAAGUCGACGAUGGGUAGCUGGCGUGAGAGCGCGACCAGCCACACUGGCACUGAGACACGGGCCAGACUCCUACGGGAGGCAGCAGUAGGGAAUAUUGGUCAAUGGACGAAAGUCUGAACCAGCCAUGCCGCGUGGAGGAUGACUGCCCUCUGGGUUGUAAACUCCUUUUAUAUGGGAAGAAACCUCUGGAUUCACUCCAGAGCUGACGGUAUCAUAUGAAUAAGCACCGGCUAACUCCGUG